rnacentral:rRNA from 1 species
AUUAGCUGAGAGGUGGUGCAUGGCCGUCGUCAGUUCGUACUGUGAAGCAUCCUGUUAAGUCAGGCAACGAGCGAGACCCACGCCCACAGUUGCCAGCGUACUCUCCGGAGUGACGGGUACACUGUGGGGACCGCCGCUGCUAAAGCGGAGGAGGAAUGGGCAACGGUAGGUCAGUAUGCCCCGAAUAUCCCGGGCUACACGCGAGCUACAAUGGUUGGUACAAUGGGUAUCUACCCCGAAAGGGGACGGGAAUCUCCUAAAACCAAUCUUAGUUCGGAUUGAGGGCUGCAACUCGCCCUCAUGAAGCUGGAAUCUGUAGUAAUCGUGUCUCAAAAUGGCACGGUGAAUAUGUCCCUGCUCCUU